GUCCAGUGUAGCCUAGUGGUCAUGGCAUCUGCCCGGUAAGCGGAAGGUCGUGGGUUCGAUUUCCAUCCCUUGACA
rnacentral:tRNA from 1 species